rnacentral:rRNA from 1 species
AGUCGAGCGAAUCAAGGGAGCUUGCUCCCUGAGAUUAGCGGCGGACGGGUGAGUAACACGUGGGUAACCUGCCUGUAAGAUUGGGAUAACUCCGGGAAACCGGAGCUAAUACCGGAUAACAUUUCGAACCGCAUGGUUCGGAAUUGAAAGGUGGCAUUUGCUACCACUUACAGAUGGACCCGCGGCGCAUUAGCUAGUUGGUGAGGUAACGGCUCACCAAGGCGACGAUGCGUAGCCGACCUGAGAGGGUGAUCGGCCACACUGGGACUGAGACACGGCCCAGACUCCUACGGGAGGCAGCAGUAGGGAAUCUUCCGCAAUGGACGAAAGUCUGACGGAGCAACGCCGCGUGAACGAUGAAGGCCUUCGGGUCGUAGAGUUCUGUUGUUAGGGAAGAACAAGUACCAGAGUAACUGCUGGUACCUUGACGGUACCUAACCAGAAAGCCACGGCUAACUACGUGCCAGCAGCCGCGGUAAUACGUAGGUGGCAAGCGUUGUCCGGAAUUA